GACGAACGCUGGCGGCGUGCUUAACACAUGCAAGUCGAACGGAAAGGCCCUGCUUGCAGGGUACUCGAGUGGCGAACGGGUGAGUAACACGUGGGUGAUCUGCCCUGCACUUCGGGAUAAGCCUGGGAAACUGGGUCUAAUACCGGAUAGGAGCCAUUUUUAGUGUGAUGGUUGGAAAGUUUUUUCGGUGUAGGAUGAGCUCGCGGCCUAUCAGCUUGUUGGUGGGGUAAUGGCCUACCAAGGCGGCGACGGGUAGCCGGCCUGAGAGGGUGGACGGCCACAUUGGGCCUGAGAUACGGCCCAGACUCCUACGGGAGGCAGCAGUGGGGAAUAUUGCACAAUGGGCGCAAGCCUGAUGCAGCGACGCCGCGUGGGGGAUGACGGCCUUCGGGUUGUAAACUCCUUUCGCUAGGGACGAAGCUUUUUGUGACGGUACCUAGAUAAGAAGCACCGGCUAACUACG
rnacentral:rRNA from 1 species